rnacentral:lncRNA from 1 species
GUGAGGUCUGUCUCGGGACCUUCCUGUCUGUGCCUGGAGGGCAUCUGCGGGCAGAUGGGGCACCUGCGCCUCCAUCUCCGCUGCCCCUGCCCUGCCCUUCUACCCAGGCCUUGCAGUCACCAGAGAUGGGAUCCAGGCUCAGCUCGGCCACGUCUGAGCUUCUUGCCAUCUGGGAAAUGGGGUGCAGAGAGACAUCCCCGGUUGAAAGCUAAACCUUCUUGCUGCAAGCCAUGCCAGGGAGAGAUCACGCAGCGGGCACCCACGAUUGGUUUAAUCAUCGCUCACUUCCAUUGGAUCAACUAGAAAUCAACUCAGAUGAGAGUGCUGAAUCUCAGAGGAUGGACGUCUCACCCUUUGCCAUACAGAUAAGUAGAAAGGGUGGUAUUGAAAAUUAAUGGCCAGACUCUAAGUCCCGGGCAAUAUACUUGAUGGUCUCCCAACACUCAAAAUGUUUGGGUUGUCUUUUGUUUUUGUUUUUGUUUUUUAUUUUGAGACAGAGUCGUUCUGUUGCCCAGGCUGGAGUGCAGUGGAGUGAGCUCGGCUCACUGCA